rnacentral:lncRNA from 1 species
CUCAGCACCACAUAAAAAUCAAUAAAAUAAAGGUAUUAUUGUGUCCAACCCCAGCUAAAAAAUAAACAUAUUAAAAAAGAAAAAGAGACAUACGAUAAAAUAAACACUUGAAAAGGAAUUGGAAUAGAACUCAGUGGUAGAGCACUUGCAUGGGGCCUGGGUUCAAAUCUCUCUACUGCCCCCCACCCCCCAAAAAAGAGAGACGAUUGACAUGAGUUGACUCAACAGGUAUUUAGGAGUGUAGCCAGAGGCUGACUACAGCCCGAACAGGCUUCAGUAGAGGAGAAGGAAGGCUCCCCAUGAGGUGGUGCCCAUGACAGAGAAAGACACAGCAACCCCAAGUGGCAGGUGGCAGUAAGUGCUGGUGAGAACAGGAUGGAGCAAGUGAGGAGACCACUGCACAGUGGGCAUGAUGGAGACGGGCCACACUGGGGAGGUGAUAGGAAAGCCAAGAGGUGCACCAGCUCAGGAAGACACAGCCAGCCCCGUCCGGUAGGAUAGAACGCAGGCCCCAUUCAUCCAGCUCGAUUUUCCAGUUGCCACAUUAAAAAUAGACCAAAAAAGUGGGUAGAAAUAAUGUUCAUAUAUCUUAUACUUAUUUUCAUAGUAUAUUUAAUUUGCAAUACAAUUUUUAUUUUUAAUUGUUAAUUUAUCUUUAUGACCUAUGUUAUUUUAAAUUUAUUUAAUAACAUAUUUGUUAUAUUUAACUUCAUUUGUAAUAUUUUAUUUUCU